GCAGCAGCCACGGGAAUACGUAGGGUGCGAGCGUUAAUCGGAAUUACUGGGCGUAAAGCGUGCGCAGGCGGUUCGUUAAGACAGAUGUGAAAUCCCCGGGCUUAACCUGGGAACUGCAUUUGUGACCGGCGAGCUAGAGUAUGGCAGAGGGGGGUAGAAUUCCACGUGUAGCAGUGAAAUGCGUAGAGAUGUGGAGGAAUACCGAUGGCGAAGGCAGCCCCCUGGGCCAAUACUGACGCUCAUGCACGAAAGCGUGGGGAGCAAAUGGGAUUAGAUACCCCGGUAGUCCCUGUCUCUUAUAC
rnacentral:rRNA from 1 species